GUUCUACCCCUCGCGACCUGCCCUCGCCGCAGCGUGGGCGCGGGGGCAUCACGGUCAUUCCCGGCGCUCGUUGCCUUGCCGCGCAGAUCUAGGCGCCCUAUUUCAGGGCCAGGGGAAAGCCGAUCAGCAGUUCGUGUGGAUUGGACACUUCAAAGAAGAGCUCCCCGCUGAGAAAGAGAAGAAAAAGAGGGUGGGUGGGAGAAGAGAACAAAAACUCAAGUAGAGAGAGAAAGCAGUGGCUCUGUUCUGUGUGAGUGUGUGUGGGGAAGAGAGAGAGAGAGGUAGGAAAGCCAUUGUUGCAGUUUCUCAGAGGAAGGGAGGGAGGGAGGGAGGAAGGGAGCGGGCGGAGAAAAAGUUGGUGAGUGAAACUUACCACCUACUGUUGCAGCUGCUCCCACUUCCCCGCUGGCUGCAUCGUCCCUCGCCUCGCCUCGUCUCCCCCACCCCACCUCCUCCUGCACGCUGCCUGCAUGCUUCAUCGCCUCGCCUGCGUGCGGAGGAGGAGGAGGAUGAUGGUGGAGGAGAGAGCGGGCGAGCCGUCGGAGGUGGAGGAGCAGGGCUGCGCAGCGAGGGCGAGGCUAGGGCCAGCCAAAAGGAGAUUGGGCGCCGUGGGCCCGCCGCCCUCCAGCUGAGCAGGAAAGGCAUCGGCGAGGGAGGUGGUGGUGGUGGAGGAUCUCCUCUCACGUCAAGGGUGGUGGUGUGCAAAGCAUAAAGCUAGGGUGGAGGAGAGGGGGAAGGCGCAGAGCUUCCCGGCCUCACAAAGCAAAAGGCUUCAUCAGAAAGGAGAAAGGCAGAAAGCUUGGGCCUUCCGAGGGAGAGCAAGGCAUCCAGCGAGCGUGCUGCGCCUGUGGGGAGAGCAUUCCGGUGCUUGAUAAAUAGCGGCUUCAAGCUGAGGGAGAGCAUCCGGUCCUAGCUCUUGCCACCACCGUGCGCUUUCCUCCUCCUGCUCUCCGCCGGUGUACUCGGCGGCUUGGCGAUGGCAUUGCAACAGCAGCAGGAGGAGGACGGCGACGAGGGCGAGGGCGGGGAAGAAGAAGACGACGACGAGGAGGAGGGGAUGAUGGGGUACAGUGUUGGGGAGCUCAUCUCCGCUUGUCCCGAGGCGUGCUGUCCGCUUGUGGCGGUGUAGUAGUAAGAUAUUGGCGCAAUAGGCUCAAUCACCUUUUUUUUUUCUUCAUUUGCCUUUUCCUUCCUGGUUCGAUGUUGCUGUGCUUGAUUUUUUUUCCCUUCUUUGCCUCUUUUGUUCCUGAUUGAUGAGUCUAAUUCAUCAUUACAUCACACACUCUUGGUGCUUUGCCCGGUUUAGAACGCAAGGCAAAACUACGCACAAAAAAGAGUGAUUAGUGUCUAA